rfam:Felis catus isolate Cinnamon breed Abyssinian chromosome D4, whole genome shotgun sequence.
GCCUGGGUGGCUCAGUCGGUUAAGCAUCCGACUUCAGCUCAGGUUGCGAUCUCGCAGUUCGUGGGUUCAAGCCCCGCGUCGGGCU